rnacentral:rRNA from 1 species
CUCAAAGAUUAAGCCAUGCAAGUGGUUAUAUUAACCCGACAGUUUAAAUAAGUGUUAAAUGCUACCAUUAUCUUAUCAUAUAUCACGCAUAGACCGAUUUUGUUUACAGUAGUAACAAUUUCAGCGUGAAUCACCCAUCACACAGUGAAUCACUGAAAUUUACCCAAUAUCAGUAUCACUUACGCAACUGCAGACAGCUGCUUAAUACAGUCACACUUGUCUUGACUUGGCGCAAUAAAAAUUUUCAUUGAAACACCCGUUCUGCGGGAAGAUCGGUGAUCAUUUUUGUUUUGUUGCAUUCACGCAUACAAAAUUUUUUGAUUUCUCUGUAUCGCUUAUUCUUAAGGACAACGCGUUACACCGUGACAAAUUUCUUUAUGGAUAACUCAGGGAAAGUUUGGCUAAUACGUACGAGUACAUUUUUUUCUACACACACACACACACUCAAAUUAUUUUUGUAUUGCUGUGUAUCAACUACUACUCAGCACUCAAUGGUAAACUUUGGCUGCGCUUGCGCGGUCAGUUUAAAGUUUAACUGCAACAUGAGAGACAUUGAGCACGCACGUGUUGUGUCUUCGGACGCUCCACAUCACGCUGAGCAGACUUUGCGAAGUUUACUUUGCGAAGCAUGUCAUACAAGCAUCUACAGCAUCAAGUCACAGGGUUGGCAAGUGUAUUUUUGAACCUUCAAAGCAGUCACGCAUACGGAAGAGUAGUUUCUGAUCCCAUAGAAGGAGCACCGUACAAUGAGAGACCGCUCUUAGUUCUAAGGAACGCAGCAGGCGCGUAAAUUGCCCAAUGCUAGUACCCUACAAUCAAAUUGUAUUUACAUGCGUUAACAAUUUACAACAUACAAGUUUUAAUGACAGACAUUAUCAACACUUUCAUUUUUUCUGUUAUAUCAUACACAUAUAUCCUUGUUCGUUGUACAUCAGCAUAUAUAGUAUUAAUUUAUUAUUUUACUGAGGCAGUGACAAGCUGUAACGGUUGAGUAUAAAAAUGACGAGUGUCUGGCAUUGCCGCUCUUUCGGGAGCUUGGCAAGUUGCCGACGCUUUGUGUGNUCAAUUGGAAUGCGGUGAGUAAGCAACUCAGAACCUUUGGACGGCUGUUAGUAAAAUUUCACUGUUUACGUAUCUGAAUUCAAGKGAGGGCAAG